CGUGAGCGUGCCUUUUUUUUUUUUUUCACUUUUGUCAACUAGAAACGCGGAAACGCUAUCGGUUCGAGCGCGCUCUUCAGAUAACGCCGACGGAAAGAAUCGCGCUGCCAGGCGUAACCUCGUUGUCUUCGAGAAAGUUCGAGAACUAUAUCGUAGCUACUUCCGAAGCGCGACUAGGGCACAGAAAAUUCUGAGCGACUCUGUGUUGUGGCGGCAGGAAAAUUUGCUCCUUGCGGACGCCUAACGUCCCAGUGUGAACUAUAGGUAAUCGAAGACGGCGUUGCAGAAACUUUGCAGAGAACGACCUUUAUCAAGAGCAACCAGCCGGCAAGUGCCUCCAAGAUGGACCACAGAGUGACUGAAAGAAUGCCGACUGCUCGUGGUAUGCAGGACUGCCCCGUAGCUCUUGGCUCGAACAACGGGUGGGACGGACAGCCGGGCCAAGUUCCCCUUCUCAGCGGACAAGGCGAUGCUGACCUUUCGUGCGUCAUCACCGGGUCCAGCGUGGAAGGCAGCGCGGUUGCCAGCUAUACGAGCCAGGCCAGCCAGCCAGGUGUCUCGAUGACCCUCCCCCUCACUACGUACUGCGGAUCUGGCGUC